AGGAAAGUGAGACAUCACCGAUUACUUCCCUAGUAUGCUGUGUUUUUGCUGAUCUGGCAUUUUUCAUUCAAGGAAGAAGAGAGAUUUAAUAUCCAAACAAAUCCUGGCAUUCCUGCCUCAGUUUUUCCUUACUGCUGCUGAGUAGGAGAGAAAGCACCUGUUGAGACCACAACACAAGAUGAUUUCACACAGUUGCAGAGAAACUUCUGCUGGAGAAUGAACUGAAAAGAAAAAUAGGACUCUUUUGUCUGGAAAGAAGUUUGGCCAGGACGUGACUGAAGUUUAUGAAGUCAUGAAGGACGAGAGCAAGGCAAACCUAGAAGUGUUGUUAAUUAAAUUCUACCAAAACUGGAA